GGGAUUGGGAGGGUCUAGCAUGCGAGUCAUUGUAGCAUACAAGGCAGACGGCUCAGUAACGCGUAGUCAACCUAACCUAUGGACGGGAAUAACCUCGGGAAACUGAGAAUAAUGCCCGAUAGAACACUAUGCCUGGAAUGGUUUGUGUUCCAAAUGAUUUAUCGCCGUAGGAUGGGACUGCGGCCUAUCAGUUUGUUGGUGAGGUAAUGGCCCACCAAGACUAUUACAGGUACGGGCUCUGAGAGGAGUAGCCCGGAGAUGGGUACUGAGACACGGACCCAGGCCCUAUGGGGCGCAGCAGGCGAGAAAACUUUGCAAUGUGCGAAAGCACGACAAGGUUAAUCCGAGUGGUUUGUGCUAAACAGACCUUUUGUUAGUCCUAGAAACACUAACGAAUAAGGGGUGGGCAAGUUCUGGUGUCAGCCGCCGCGGUAAAACCAGCACCUCAAGUGGUCAGGAUGAUUAUUGGGCCUAAAGCAUCCGUAGCCGGCUUUGUAAGUUUUCGGUUAAAUCCAUGCGCUCAACGUAUGGGCUGCCGGGAAUACUGCAAAGCUAGGGAGUGGGAGAGGUAGACGGUACUCGGUAGGAAGGGGUAAAAUCCUUUGAUCUAUUGAUGACCACCUGUGGCGAAGGCGGUCUACCAGAACACGUCCGACGGUGAGGGAUGAAAGCUGGGGGAGCAAACCGGAUUAGAUACCCGGGUAGUCCCAGCUGUAAACUAUGCAAACUCAGUGAUGCAUUGGCUUGAUGCCAAUGCAGUGCUGCAGGGAAGCCGUUAAGUUUGCCGCCUGGGAAGUACGUACGCAAGUAUGAAACUUAAAGGAAUUGGCGGGGGAGCACCACAAGGGGUGAAGCCUGCGGUUCAAUUGGAGUCAACGCCGGG
rnacentral:rRNA from 1 species